GUUGGGAAUCUUGCACAAUGGGGGAAACCCUGAUGCAGCGACGCCGCGUGGAGGACGAAGGGUCUAGGCCUGUAAACUCCUUUUACCAGGAAAGACUUAGGACGGUACCUGGGGAAUAAGCACCGGCUAACUACGUGCCAGCAGCCGCGGUAAGACGUAGGGUGCAAGCGUUGUCCGGAUUUACUGGGCGUAAAGAGCGCGUAGGCGGUCUGUUAAGUGUAGAGUGAAAGCUCCGGGCUCAACUCGGAAAUUGCUCUGCAUACUGGCAGACUUGAGGAUGGAAGAGGUUUGUGGAAUUCCUGGUGUAGCGGUGAAAUGCGUAGAUAUCAGGAGGAACACCCAUGGCGAAGGCAGCAAACUGGUCCAUAUCUGACGCUGAGGCGCGAAAGCGUGGGUAGCAAACAGG
rnacentral:rRNA from 1 species